UAAUACAAAACGUAAAAAGUUUAAAUCUAAAACUGCUCUGUAUUUCUUAAAACAUAAACAUAGGUCAGUUUGAGAAUUAAACUUAUUCGGUAUAACAAUUUAAACUAGACGUGAAUAACCUGUGACAAUUUUUAUCAGUGUAUUCAUAUUUUCGAGUUGAUCGGCGGAUGUAAACAAAAACAGAUUCGGUUUCGUUUUCAAACGGGCAUUUCGUGAAAAAAUACAAAUUUUCAUUUCGGCAAUGUGGAUUCCGGAGAAAUACAUUCGGAUAUAUGAGGAGGAUCACCAGAUGAACAAACAAGAACAUGUUGAAUGAUGAUGCGCACCUUCAGCAGUUCGGAUUCGACGAUAUGGACAUCAAGGGCACCGAACUGGCCACCGUUUCAAACUCGUCCUAACCGGCAGGAGAGAAAUUACCCUCGAUCAUAGCCUAGUGGUAUCGGUUCAAUCAGUACCAGUACAAUGUCAACAGUGAUAGACGCAAAUCGGUCUUCAUCACCGGAAUGUCCACCGCAAAGAUUGAUCCGCGAACAGUUACUAUCUCCGACGCUAUCGGUGUUCUUCGAGAAAAGGAAACACGCGUACAGUCUUCAGCUGCAGGAGUUCUGCCUGAAACAACAGAUCGCUGUAGUCGACAACUGGGUGCGGCACUCAACCGGAUCUGGCAAUAUUCUCGACCAAGACGGUGGUGACUAAUUCGGAUCAGAGCAUGGUGCAAUGCGCCAGUCUGUGGACGAAAAUAGACCAGUCGAUGGAAUCCAAGGUGUGGCCUUCAUCUCGUACUGACCACCAUUGCGAAACAUGUCCAGUACUAGACAUCCAAAUUCCCUGACAAGAUCAAGGUUCCUGUCCGGUAUUUUUUUCAUGCAUGAAGUUUCUGAAGAUCCUAUUGUGAGACACACAAUCGCUACCAGCCCUGGACCUUCCAAUUCUUCAACAGGAGGAACAAGACAAGUUGGCCGGCAUCGCUAAGCACCAACUCCUAUUCAGAAUCGAAGGAUUCAUCAACGGCAAGCGGAAUGAAUGGAAAAACAGCAACAAAAUGCUCACUGCAGAAGGAAUGUUUACGUCUCAAUGAACGCAAAUAAAUUAUCAAGUACGGGAACUUCAGGAACCUCCUCCGUCCGCCCGGGUUGGGACCGCGGCCAAUAUGAUCUCGCAUGUGGGUCGUAGUUGAACUUGAAGGUACCAGGUGAACUUGAAGGUACCAGAACUGCCGGCCAUCACACCGGGGUGACAUUUAAUCCCGUUAGCAUUCAGUAAAGCAAUCUUCAUUAAUAAAACAUAUAUUUUUGAACGAA